rnacentral:misc_RNA from 1 species
AAGUCGUAACAAGGUUUCCGUAGGUGAACCUGCGGAAGGAUCAUUACAAAUCUUUUAUGAAAAAAGGAUAAGAAAAAGGAGAAAAGAGGGUAUAAAGAGGGGAGAGAAGAAAAAUAGGAGAGGGUGGUAAAUAGUAAUUUUAUCCCGAACCUAUUUUUAUUUAAUCUCUCUUUUACUUAAUUUCUCUUUAAUUAUCCACAUAUGUGCUUCAGGAAUUCAUUUCCUGAUAGACAUUUACGCUUGUUAGGGUUUGACAGAGUUUUAUUUUUUGAUGAUAAUAAAUGACAACUUUUAACAAUGGAUCUCUUGGCUCUU